CACGUAGGGUGCGAGCGUUGUCCGGAAUUACUGGGCGUAAAGGGCGCGUAGGCGGCACUGUUAGUCAGGCGUGAAAGUCCUGGGCUCAACCUGGGAACUGCAUUCGAUACUGCCGUGCUUGAGGACUGGAGAGGAGACUGGAAUUUACGGUGUAGCGGUGAAAUGCGUUGAUAUCAUUAGGAACUCCGGUGGCGAAGGCGGCUCGCUGGACCUUUUCUGACGCUGAGGCGCGAAAGCUAGGGGAGCAAACGGG
rnacentral:rRNA from 1 species